rnacentral:rRNA from 1 species
AUACGGAGGGGGCUAGCGUUGUUCGGAAUUACUGGGCGUAAAGCGCGCGUAGGUGGAGCUUUAAGUCGGAUGUGAAAGCCCUGGGCUUAACCUGGGAAUUGCAUUCGAUACUGGGACUCUAGAGUAUAGUAGAGGGAAGUGGAAUUUCAGGUGUAGCGGUGAAAUGCGUAGAUAUCUGAAGGACCAUCAGUGGCGAAAGCGGCUUCCUGGACUAAUACUGACACUGAGGUGCGAAAGCGUGGGGAGCAAACAGGAUUAGAAACCCCAGUAGUCC